ACCCUCUCCUUCCCCCGACUCUGCUCUGCCUCUCUCGCGAACAAGCGACGCCGACGCGAGGGAUGCUCCAGCUCCGGUGAUUUUUCUUCCCCGGCAUCGACAUCCAUUGAGCUCCGAUCCUGCCGAAGCCCUUCUUCCUCUCGCUCUGAUCUCUCUGUUCUCUCACGGAUGAUCCGACGACCCUUUGGUGGCUAGGGCACGGUGAGGAACGAGGUUCGGUGCCGCUGGAUCAAGUUGUGCCAUCGCCGAUCACCGGCGUGAAGGGACAAUUAGGGUUCCACGGGUCACGGAUUGGAGGGGAUCAAUGAGUCUGUUCUUUGGGGAUUCAGUUGAAGAGGUUUUCUUGAGCUAUGGUUGUGCUUGAUCAGUAGUCUUCCUGCUGGAUUCCUGCUUGAUCCGUUUGAUAGCAGCAAGUAGGAAGGAUUUUAGCAGCGAGGUUGUGUUGCUGUGAUGCUGGAAUUGUGGUCAUUGAGGUGGUUUACAGCAGCGUUCUAGUUCAGCAACUUCUCUUGUUGCCAGCAGCAAGUUUGAUCCGAACAGAGGAGUUGAUCCCAGUAGGUUGUUCUGUUCUGUUGUGUGUUCCUGUUUCGACAGCAACCCCAUUCCAGAAGCUUGAUCGAGGACUCUGAUUCGAGACGGGCGUCUCGGCUUCGGAUUUGGAUUGACUGUACCUUCUAUUGG